rnacentral:rRNA from 1 species
UACGAAGGGGGCUAGCGUUGCUCGGAAUUACUGGGCGUAAAGCGCACGUAGGCGGUCUUUAAGUCGGGGGUGAAAUCCUGGAGCUCAACUCCAGAACUGCCUUCGAUACUGGAAGACUCGAGUCCGGGAGAGGUGAGUGGAACUGCGAGUGUAGAGGUGAAAUUCGUAGAUAUUCGCAAGAACACCAGUGGCGAAGGCGGCUCACUGGCCCGGUACUGACGCUGAGGUGCGAAAGCGUGGGGAGCAAACAGG